UCCUCCCUCAAACCCCCGGGUUUGGUGUUGGACCGCGUUGGGGGGUCUCCCCCAACUGGUCUCAAAGACAAUGACGGCGUCCGUGGGACCCUCUUCGCACUGAGCUUUCCGGAGCACGCGUCGAGUUGCAAGGUCUCGUGGGCCCGGUCCUCCUUUAUCUAUUUUUCA
rnacentral:misc_RNA from 1 species